UACGAAGGGGGCUAGCGUUGCUCGGAAUCACUGGGCGUAAAGGGUGCGUAGGCGGGUCUUUAAGUCAGGGGUGAAAUCCUGGAGCUCAACUCCAGAACUGCCUUUGAUACUGAGGAUCUUGAGUACGGGAGAGGUGAGUGGAACUGCGAGUGUAGAGGUGAAAUUCGUAGAUAUUCGCAAGAACACCAGUGGCGAAGGCGGCUCACUGGCCCGUAACCUGACGCUGAGGCACGAAAGCCGUGGGGAGCAAACAGG
rnacentral:rRNA from 1 species